rnacentral:rRNA from 1 species
AACGAACGCUGGCGGCAGGCUUAACACAUGCAAGUCGAACGGUCUCUUCGGAGGCAGUGGCAGACGGGUGAGUAACGCGUGGGAAUCUACCUGAUACUACGGAACAACAGAGGGAAACUUCUGCUAAUACCGUAUACGCCCCACGGGGGAAAGAUUUAUCGGUAUCAGAUGAGCCCGCGUAAGAUUAGCUAGUUGGUGGG